rnacentral:rRNA from 1 species
AGCGCGGGGCAACCUGGCGGCGAGUGGCGAACGGGUGAGUAAUAUAUCGGAACGUACCCUGGAGUGGGGGAUAACGUAGCGAAAGUUACGCUAAUACCGCAUACGAUCUAAGGAUGAAAGUGGGGGAUCGCAAGACCUCAUGCUCCUGGAGCGGCCGAUAUCUGAUUAGCUAGUUGGCGGGGUAAAAGCCCACCAAGGCAACGAUCAGUAGCUGGUCUGAGAGGACGACCAGCCACACUGGAACUGAGACACGGUCCAGACUCCUACGGGAGGCAGCAGUGGGGAAUUUUGGACAAUGGGCGCAAGCCUGAUCCAGCAAUGCCGCGUGAGUGAAGAAGGCCUUCGGGUUGUAAAGCUCUUUUGUCAGGGAAGAAACGGUGGGGGCUAAUAUCCCCCGCUAAUGACGGUACCUGAAGAAUAAGCACCGGCUAACUACGUGCCAGCAGCCGCGGUAAUACGUAGGGUGCAAGCGUUAAUCGGAAUUACUGGGCGUAAAGCGUGCGCAGGCGGUUUUGUAAGUCUGUCGUGAAAUCCCCGGGCUCAACCUGGGAAUUGCGAUGGAGACUGCAAGGCUAGAGUUUGGCAGAGGGGGGUAGAAUUCCACGUGUAGCAGUGAAAUGCGUAGAUAUGUGGAGGAACACCGAUGGCGAAGGCAGCCCCCUGGGUCAAAACUGACGCUCAUGCACGAAAGCGUGGGGAGCAAACAGGAUUAGAUACCCUGGUAGUCCACGCCCUAAACGAUGUCUACUAGUUGUCGGGUCUUAAUUGACUUGGUAACGCAGCUAACGCGUGA